AACGUAGGAGGCAAGCGUUAUCCGGAGUCACUGGGCGUAAAGGGCGAGUAGGUGGUUGCGUAAGUUGGUUAUGAAAGCUCCUGGCUAAACUGGGAGAGGUUGACCAAGACUGCGCGACUUGAGUGGAGAAGAGGUAAACGGAAUUCCGCGUGUAGUGGUGAAAUGCGUAGAGAUGCGGAAGAACACCAGUGGCGAAGGCGGCUCACUGGUCCGGUACUGACGCUGAGGUGCGAAAGCGUGGGGAGCAAACAGG
rnacentral:rRNA from 1 species